rnacentral:misc_RNA from 1 species
AAGUCGUAACAAGGUUUCCGUAGGGUAAGUUUACAAUCCUUUCCUUCCAACCUUGUGUGAAUUCUUGCUAACAUAACUUUAUAGUGAACCUGCGGAAGGAUCAUUACCGAGCAAGGGUCUUCCAGGCCCGACCUCCAACCCUCUGUUUAACCAACCACGUUGCUUUGGCGGGCCCGCCCUUUGGGGCCGCCGGGGGCUUCACCGCCCCUGGCCCGUGCCCGCCGGUAGCCAUUUUAAAUUCUGAUAACUGUGCCGUCUGAGUAUAGAUAUAAAUCGUUAAAAACUUUCAACAACGGAUCU